CUAAGAACUUUCCAGAGAUGGAUUGGUGCCUUCGGGAACUUAGAUACAGGUGCUGCAUGGCUGUCGUCAGCUCGUGUCGUGAGAUGUUGGGUUAAGUCCCGCAACGAGCGCAACCUUUUCCUAUUUGCCAGCGGGUCAUGCCGGGAACUUUAAGGAUACUGCCAGUGACGAACUGGAGGAAGGCGGGGACGACGUCAAGUCAUCAUGGCCCUUACGGCCAGGGCUACACACGUGCUACAAUGGUCGGUACAAAGGGUUGCUACCUCGCGAGAGGAUGCUAAUCUCAAAAAGCCGAUCGUAGUCCGGAUCGCAGUCUGCAACUCGACUGCGUGAAGUCGGAAUCGCUAGUAAUCGCGGAUCAGAAUGCCGCGGUGAAUACGUUCCCGGGCCUUGUACACACCGCCCGUCACACCAUGGGAGUUUGUUGCACCAGAAGUAGGUAGUCUAACCGCAAGGAGGACGCUUACCACGGUGUGGCCGAUGACUGGGGUGAAGUCGUAACAAGGUAGGCGUAGAUGA
rnacentral:rRNA from 1 species